CCAUGCAGUCGAACGGCAGCACAGGAGCUUGCUCCUGAUGGCGAGUGGCGAACGGGUGAGUAAUAUAUCGGAACGUGUCCUGUAUUGGGGGAUAGCUAGGCGAAGGACGGAUUAAUACCGCAUACGAUCUACGGAUGAAAGCGGGGGACCUUCCGACCUCCCUUGCCUGGAUGGGCCGAUGGAUGUCUGAUUAGCUGGUGGGGUAAAGGCCUACCCAGGCGAGCAUCAAUCCGUGGCUGGACUGGAAGGAUGAUCACACUGGCAGUGACACACGGCCCAGACUCCUACGGGAGGCAGCAGUGGGGAAUUUUGGAUGAUGGGCGAAAGCCUGAUCCAUCAAUGCCGCGUGAGUGAAGAAGGCCUUCGGGUUGUAAAGCUCUUUUGUCCGGAAAGAAAUCCUUGUAUCUAAUACCUACUGGGGAUGACGGUACCUGAAGAAUAAGCACCGGCUAACUACGUGCCAGCAGCCGCGGUAAUACGUAGGGUGCGAGCGUUAAUCGGAAUUACUGGGCGUAAAGCGUGCGCAGGCGGUUGGGUAAGUCCGAUGUGAAAUCCCCGGGCUCAACCUGGGAGCUGCAUUGGAGACUGACUGGCUAGAGUGUGUCAGAGGGGAGGUAGAAUUCCACGUGUAGCAGUGAAAUGCGUACAUAUGUGGAGGAAUACCGAUGGCUAAGGCAGCCCCCUGGGAUAACACUGACUCUCAUGCACGAAAGCGUGGGAGCAAACAGGAUUAGAUACCCUGGUAGUCCACGCCCUAAACGAUGUCUACUAGUUGUUGGGUAUU
rnacentral:rRNA from 1 species